rnacentral:rRNA from 1 species
UCUUAGACAAUGGGCGCAAGCCUGAUCUAGCCAUGCCGCGUGUGUGAUGAAGGCCUUAGGGUCGUAAAGCACUUUCGCCAGGGAUGAUAAUGACAGUACCUGGUAAAGAAACCCCGGCUAACUCCGUGCCAGCAGCCGCGGUAAUACGGAGGGGGUUAGCGUUGUUCGGAAUUACUGGGCGUAAAGCGCACGUAGGCGGAUCAGAAAGUUGGGGGUGAAAUCCCAGGGCUCAACCCUGGAACUGCCUCCAAAACUCCUGGUCUUGAGUUCGAGAGAGGUGAGUGGAAUUCCGAGUGUAGAGGUGAAAUUCGUAGAUAUUCGGAGGAACACCAGUGGCGAAGGCGGCUCACUGGCUCGAUACUGACGCUGAGGUGCGAAAGUGUGGGGAGCAAACAGGAUUAGAUACCCUGGUAGUCCACACCGUAAACGAUGAAUGCCAGUCGUCGGGCAGUAUACUGUUCGGUGACACACCUAACGGAUUAAGCAUUCCGCCUGGGGAGUACGGUCGCAAGAUUA